GAUGAACGCUAGCGACAGGCCUAACACAUGCAAGUCGAGGGGCAGCACGAAUCAAGCUUGCUUGAUUUGGUGGCGACCGGCGCACGGGUGCGUAACAGGUGUGCAAUCUGUCCAUAAUCGGGGAAUAGCCCAGCGAAAGUUGGAUUAAUGCUCCAUGUGAGUUUUAGAGGCAUCUCUUUAAUUUGAAACGCAAGGAUUAUGGGUGAGCACGCUUCUGAUUAGGUAGUUGGUGAGGUAACGGCUCACCAAGCCGACGAUCAGUAGGGGUUCUGAGAGGAAGGUCCCCCACAUUGGAACUGAGACACGGUCCAAACUCCUACGGGAGGCAGCAGUGAGGAAUAUUGGGUCAAUGGACGGAAGUCUGAACCAGCCAAGUCGCGUGAAGGAUGAAGGUUCUAUGGAUUGUAAACUUACUUUUGUCUGAGGGUAAAAAAGCGGACGUGUCCGUUCUUGCAAGUAUCAGACGAAUAAGCAUCGGCUAACUCCGUG
rnacentral:rRNA from 1 species